UACGGAGGAUUCAAGCGUUAUCCGGAUUUAUUGGGUUUAAAGGGUGCGUAGGCGGUCGGAUAAGUUAGGGGUGAAAUCCCGAGGCUCAACUUCGGAAUUGCCUCUGAUACUGUUCGGCUAGAGAGUAGUUGCGGUAGGCGGAAUGUAUGGUGUAGCGGUGAAAUGCUUAGAGAUCAUACAGAACACCGAUUGCGAAGGCAGCUUACCAAGCUACUUCUGACGUUGAGGCACGAAAGCGUGGGGAGCAAACAGG
rnacentral:rRNA from 1 species